AGGAUGAACGCUGGCGGCGUGCUUAACACAUGCAAGUCGAACGAUGAAGCGGAGCUUGCUCUGUGGAUUAGUGGCGAACGGGUGAGUAACACGUGAGUAACCUGCCCUUGACUCUGGGAUAAGCACUGGAAACGGUGUCUAAUACCGGAUACAAGCUUCAGCCGCAUGGCUAGGAGUUGGAAAGAAUUUCGGUCAAGGAUGGACUCGCGGCCUAUCAGGUAGUUGGUGAGGUAAUGGCCCACCAAGCCUACGACGGGUAGCCGGCCUGAGAGGGUGACCGGCCACACUGGGACUGAGACACGGCCCAGACUCCUACGGGAGGCAGCAGUGGGGAAUAUUGCGCAAUGGGCGAAAGCCUGACGCAGCGACGCCGCGUGGGGAUGAAGGCCUUCGGGUUGUAAACCCCUUUCAGCAGGGACGAAGCGAGAGUGACGGUACCUGCAGAGAAGCGCCGGCUAACUACGCGCCAGCAGCCGCGGU
rnacentral:rRNA from 1 species